GAUGAACGCUGGCGGCGUGCCUAAUACAUGCCAGUCGAGCGAACAGACGAGGAGCUUGCUCCUUUGACGUUAGCGGCGGACGGGUGAGUAACACGUGGGUAACCUACCUAUAAGACUGGGAUAACUUCGGGAAACCGGAGCUAAUACCGGAUAAUAUUUCGAACCGCAUGGUUCGAUAGUGAAAGAUGGCUUUGCUAUCACUUAUAGAUGGACCUGCGCCGUAUUAGCUAGUUGGUAAGGUAACGGCUUACCAAGGCAACGAUACGUAGCCGACCUGAGAGGGUGAUCGGCCACACUGGAACUGAGACACGGUCCAGACUCCUACGGGAGGCAGCAGUAGGGAAUCUUCCGCAAUGGGCGAAAGCCUGACGGAGCAACGCCGCGUGAGUGAUGAAGGUCUUCGGAUCGUAAAACUCUGUUAUUAGGGAAGAACAAACGUGUAAGUAACUGCGCACGUCUUGACGGUACCUAAUCAGAAAGCCACGGCUAACUACGUG
rnacentral:rRNA from 1 species